rnacentral:rRNA from 1 species
AGGGAACGCUGGCGGUAGGCCUAACACAUGCAAGUCGAACGGCAGCACAGUAAGAGCUUGCUCUUACGGGUGGCGAGUGGCGGACGGGUGAGGAAUACAUCGGAAUCUACUUUUUCGUGGGGGAUAACGUAGGGAAACUUACGCUAAUACCGCAUACGACCUACGGGUGAAAGCAGGGGAUCUUCGGACCUUGCGCGAUUGAAUGAGUCGAUGUCGGAUUAGCUAGUUGGCGGGGUAAAGGCCCACCAAGGCGACGAUCCGUAGCUGGUCUGAGAGGAUGAUCAGCCACACUGGAACUGAGACACGGUCCAGACUCCUACGGGAGGCAGCAGUGGGGAAUAUUGGACAAUGGGCGCAAGCCUGAUCCAGCCAUACCGCGUGGGUGAAGAAGGCCUUCGGGUUGUAAAGCCCUUUUGUUGGGAAAGAAAAGCAGCAGGUUAAUACCCCGCUGUUCUGACGGUACCCAAAGAAUAAGCACCGGCUAACUUCGUG